GUGGGGAAUAUUGCACAAUGGGCGCAAGCCUGAUGCAGCAACGCCGCGUGAGGGACGACGGCCUUCGGGUUGUAAACCUCUUUUAGCAGGGAAGAAGCGAAAGUGACGGUACCUGCAGAAAAAGCACCGGCUAACUACGUGCCAGCAGCCGCGGUAAUACGUAGGGUGCAAGCGUUAUCCGGAAUUAUUGGGCGUAAAGAGCUCGUAGGCGGUCUGUCGCGUCUGCUGUGAAAACUGGAGGCUCAACCUCCAGCCUGCAGUGGGUACGGUCGGACUAGAGGGCGGUAGGGGAGAUUGGAAUUCCUGGUGUAGCGGUGGAAUGCGCAGAUAUCAGGAGGAACACCGAUGGCGAAGGCAGAUCUCUGGGCCGUAACUGACGCUGAGGAGCGAAAGCGUGGGGAGCGAACAGGAUUAGAUACCCUGGUAGUCC
rnacentral:rRNA from 1 species